rnacentral:tRNA from 1 species
GCUGAUGUAGCUCAGUUGGCAGAGCAGCUGUUUUGUAAACAGCAGGUCGUCGGUUCGACCCCGACCAUCAGCU